rnacentral:tRNA from 1 species
GGGAAGGUGGCUCAGUGUGGUAGAGCACUUGCCUUGCAUGCAUGAGACCCUGGGUUCGAUUCCUUCAGGCCCC